CCUACGGGAGGCAGCAGUGAGGAAUAUUGGUCAAUGGGCGCGAGCCUGAACCAGCCAAGUCGCGUGAGGGAAGACGGUCCUAUGGAUUGUAAACCUCUUUUGUCGGGGAGCAAAAGACGCCACGCGUGGCGUUCCGAGAGUACCCGAAGAAAAAGCAUCGGCUAACUCCGUGCCAGCAGCCGCGGUAAUACGGAGGAUGCGAGCGUUAUCCGGAUUUAUUGGGUUUAAAGGGUGCGUAGGCGGGCUUUUAAGUCAGCGGUAAAAAUUCGGGGCUCAACCCCGUCCGGCCGUUGAAACUGGGGGCCUUGAGUGGGCGAGAAGAAGGCGGAAUGCGUGGUGUAGCGGUGAAAUGCAUAGAUAUCACGCAGAACCCCGAUUGCGAAGGCAGCCUUCCGGCGCCCUACUGACGCUGAGGCACGAAAGUGCGGGGAUCGAACAGGAUUAGAUACCCCAGUAGUC
rnacentral:rRNA from 1 species